rnacentral:rRNA from 1 species
UGUGAACUGCAGGACACAUGAACACCGACAAGUUGAACGCAUAUUGCACAUCGUACAACAGUACGAUGUACACAUUUUUGAGUGCCUAUAUUUAUCCAUUCAACUAUACGUGUGCGUGCGCGUCCCACCCCGGGUGGACAGGCGCACGGGCCGAACCCGGCGGCGGCAACCGACCAACCGAGUUGCUUGCUUGCCGGGUGCACGUAUGCGUAGUGAUGUUUUCCCAGUUGGCCCCGUUCGCGCGGGGUUGGAAAAACAUUGAAGAUAGUCAGGCGGGCAUCGUCUCCCAUGGCGGCGGCAUGCCCGGUUGGUGAAUACAUCCCAUAGACCCCCGCUCUCCUAGCCGAGAGUGGGUUCCUAGUUGUAUUCCAUCAAACGCACCUACCGUGCACUCACUCACCCGCAAUCAGUAGGCCUCAAAUAAUGUGUGACUACCCCCUAAAUUUAAGCAUA